CCUACGGGAGGCAGCAGUGGGGAAUAUUGGACAAUGGGCGAAAGCCUGAUCCAGCCAUGCCGCGUGUGUGAAGAAGGUCUUCGGAUUGUAAAGCACUUUAAGUUGGGAGGAAGGGUUGUAGAUUAAUACUCUGCAAUUUUGACGUUACCGACAGAAUAAGCACCGGCUAACUUCGUGCCAGCAGCCGCGGUAAU
rnacentral:rRNA from 4 species